CAGAGUGCAGAUACACGCAUC
rnacentral:miRNA from 1 species